GCCUGGAUAACUAUAAUAAAAAAUGAACUGUAUAGAAAGGUAUCGAUGGAAUAGGAGACAAUAAAAGCGGAUGUAAGUCGCCCCCUUGAGUUGUAUACAGAGACUGAGUUGUUAUUAAACAGAUGAAAGUUUGUGGCGCACUGGUGAACACAUGUCUGGUCGAAAACUGGUGUAUACCCCAGUGCGCAUGUUCAUGCGUUGUGGUAAAAAACAACGACUGGAAGAAAGAGAAUAAGAAAACUUGUGAACUGCCAUCAACGCUACCACAAAGGGCAUGCUCAUUCGCUGCCGUAUAACCAAUGACUGCAAGAAGGAGAAUAAGUAUUCUUGUGACUUGCCAUCAACGCUACCGUAAAGGGCUGAACACCUCUGGUCCUGAAACUGCAGACAAAAUGCCAAACGAAAUCCCUAUACUCGGUACGGAGAUCGGCGGCUCUGAAGGCCAAAACAGAAUGAGCGCAUUAAGUGUCUGGUUGUAAAAAUACAACUCUGCAUAAAAAUUCCACAAAAGCGGAAAAGUUGAAAAUUUGUCAACUUUGACGCUUGAAAGCGAGCGUUAUUUCAUGUUGCCACACGUGGAGUAGUGUUUCUGCUCGUCAAAGUUAAAAAUGUUUAACUUUUGCGAGUCGCUUUUUUAUCAUUUGUUUUCAGAGUUGCAUUUUUCAAUGCGAUGCUCCUUAAUGCGCUCAUUCUGUUUAGGCCUUUAGGGUUAUAUCAUUCUAUCGAAAAGUGGCGGAACCUGUAGCCUUCAUUUUUAUCUGGAGUGAUCCCGAUGAACCUAAAGGAUGAGACUUGGUGAAAAUGAAAGAGAUGGAGUUCCAAACGAACCAUACUAGAGUAGACUAGUGAAACAUGACAACAAAGGUGGUUGCAUGAAAGCAGGAAGAUGCAGGUGGGCGUGAAGACUUAUUCUCAAUGUACGGAUGUAAAGAAAUAGAAAAUACAGCUACUUCAACUAUUACAGUACAAAGAUGUUUAGGGGUCAUGGUUACUUCCGGAAAAACUUACAUAGAAAAAGCAAAUGCUAUUCUAGCACGUGUAUUUAUGAAGCACUGUAUCGAAAGAUUCAAGAAACUGGAAACGGCGAUUGGCUGGAAUAAUAAUUUGGAGAAUGUUGGAGAGCAACUGGUAGUUGCUAAAAAGAUUCGCUGAAGAAGAAGAUGGACCUGAACGUAAUGGUAUAGAGUAUGAAUGUGGAGGCCUGCAGGCAGACGCAAUGAAGAUAACAAGGAUAUCAACUAUCCACCAGUUAUGGGAUUUACCAAAAAGUAAAACGAAUAUCCCGAUGUAUGUGAAAUUCAUAAGAUUAUACCUAUGCCGAAGGUCAGAAUGCCAAUAGAACGGUCUGCUGGCUAUUAAUUAAUGUAUUCGAAAAAAUUCUUCAUCGACAGUUAUCAGUGUACUUUGACCAAAAUAGCUUGCCUAAUCCCAGUCAAUAUGGGUUUCGAAGAGGGUGCCUUACCGAAGAAGCUACAAACAAUGUUGUCAACUUUUGUAUGUAAAUUACUAGAUGAUGGACAUAGCGGAGUUGCAGUUUUUCACCUAACUAAAGGCAUUUUAUAUGAUCGGCCAAGACAUUAUGAUACAAAGGCUCUAAAAUUAAGGAGUAAUGAACUCUGGCUUUUUAAGUCAUAUUUAGAAAAUCGUAAACAGUUUGUUCAGAUUAGCGAAUGCAGAAGUCAAAUGAUAUAGGCGAAACAUAUUAUAAGCAGACUGAACUUGGGCAGACGAAUCUGAAGGACUUAAUUUGUCCAUGAAUAUAUAUUUGAUUUCAUCAAGGAAAAUGCGCAGCAUUAUGUAUAAAAUUUCAUUCGAUUACUGAGUACGAUUCAAAAGUCAGGAUUUUGUGAUAUUUUUCCCAAUACUCGGGAGUCGGGUUUGCCACAGAAAGUCGGGAUAAUCCCGAUCAUCUGACAAGCCUCAGUAUGAACCAUGUGAUGUAGGAGUUCUAGUCGGAAGUCGGGAUUAUCACAGAAAGUCGGGAUAAUCCCCACCAUCUGGCAAGCCUAAGUAUGAACCACGUGCUGUAGGAGUUGUAAGUCGGAAGUCGGGAUUAUCACAGAAAGUCGGGAUAAUCCCCACCAUCUGGCAAGCCUAAGUAUGAACCACGUGCUGUAGGAGCUUGAUAUAAUUAAUGAUGUAUACAGCGUCUAUCUUAGCUAUGUUGUUUGAAAAAUGGAAGAAGAAAACCUCCUGGCAGACUGUAAAAUGCAAAUUUUCCCAUGAACAUUCCAUUAAGGAACAGGGCAGGACAUUUCAAAUGGCAUUUGUAAAAUAACAACAACAUUUAAUGUUGUUGCUGUAGCAGUGUAUUGUACACUGAGGCGGCAGCCCUUGUCGA
rnacentral:sRNA from 1 species